rnacentral:rRNA from 1 species
UGAGCAAUCUGCCCUUCUCAUCGGAAUAAGCGUUGGAAACGACGUCUAAUGCCGAAUACGACCUCCUUUCGCAUGAUCGGAGGUGGAAAGCUCCGGCGGAGAAGGAUGAGCUCGCGGCCUAUCAGCUAGUUGGUGUGGGUAAUGGCCCACAAGGCGACGACGGGUAGCCGGCCUGGAGAGGGUGACCCGGCCACACGUGGGACUGAGACACCGGCCCAGACCUCCGUACGGGGAGCAG